GGCUGCCGGGACGGCGAGUGCGGGCUCGUCGGCGAACCCCGCCCAGCGCGGCGGCUCCGGGCGCGUCCCUGGGAGCGGCCCGGCCCGAGGCCUGAGUCCGGCUCGCGGCGCCUCUGUGCGGGCUGCGGGAAUUGCCCCGUGCUCGCUGCGAUGGCACGAGCGGGGCGCGGCCCGGCCAUCAGCGCUCAGCCGCGUCCACAGAGACGGCGCCGAGCGGCGGGAAUCGGGCUCCGCGCUGCCGGCACUGCUCCACAACGCGCUGCCACCUCCUGCAGGGCCGCAGUGCUGGAAGAGCGUGUGUUCCUCACGAAACGUCAGAUGUGUGAAUGCUGCGUGUGAGACACAAAGAUGCGUUUUCACAUGAUGUGACGUUACAUCAGUUCCAUUUAACGCAUCUUUGUAGUUCUCAGAAGACAGCAGCCAAGAAUUACCAUGUAAACACCAAAUAUACUUUGUGCUCAGAUACUGCGGUGAGAUGAGAUGCAUCAAACCAUGCUAAAAUGCUCCUGUGGACAAAACUGCUUCGUAUACAGGAGCACAUGGGCCAGCCCUCUCGAAAUGGAGGACGACAGUCUCCUAAUAGAGGAAGCAGCACAGACCCGAUUCAGCAAUGCGCAGAGAUGUCCUGCAGUCAGCCCCGUGAGAAGCAACUCGGGCAAGGUGCCACCUGGCUGAGCAGCAGCGACUCCACAGCAGACGAGCCAGGACUGGGAGCUGCCGGCUCCCUCUGCAGCAGCAAAGUCCAAACAGCACAUCCCGGGAAGCUGGCUGGGUUCUCCAGCUACAACAAUGACCCUCUCCUCCUGCUGUGAGAGCUGUCGCUUGUUGCUCCAUUACAUCCAGAGGCAAAAGACUUGAAAACAUUUGCAGAACAUAUAUUUGUAUAUAAAUCCAUUUUAAACUUAACCUAACAAAGCGAUAGCCGAGCAAGCUUUAAAAUUUAAUCUCAGUUUCACAAUGGCUUUUCUGCGGUUUACCAACCUCUUGCACAGUAACUGUUUUCAGGGAGGUCUGGGGAUCACAUCAGUGAGACUCCACCUCUGGAGGGCAAGAGUUGUGGGACACAAGAACAGUGAGGCUUCUCUCCAGUUAGAGACUCCAAAGGGCAAAUAAAUGCUGAAUUUACAACUACUCUGUUUCCUACUGAGAAUAAGGGGCCCUUCCCAGGGAAGCAGUAAAUUCCUACAGCCUUAAAAGAGAUACCAAGGAUCUGCCCUCGGGGAGGGGUGAACCACUUGAAUUACUUGAUGUGCCCGCUUGAGAGGGUAAUAAUUCUCAAAUACAUUGUGAGAGUAUGUAGUAACACCCUAUUGGAAAAGGGGAGAUAGAAGCCCCCUUCUUUGGUUGUUCACACCUUUACUCUGCACAGAAGGAUGUUCUUUGGGGCGGCUUCAGCUUGCUUUGAACUCCCUCGUCAUUAUGGCACAAGAAGGUGACUCCACGAAUAGCAAAGCUGUUGGGUGUGGGCUUUAGAGAGCUUGAAAAUCAGGAUUAGUAGAGCAGUUCUGCACUGGCUGGAGACAAGGCACAGCACUGCGGUCUGUUUUGCACUGCCUUAGAGAAAAUAAAAAGAAGGGAGUAUUUUAUAGAUAGUGCAGGUGGCCACAGACCGUAUCAGCAAAGCUCGAUGCAUUCUUGGAAUGCUGACCUUGCACAUUAUCUGCCGCUGGCAUCCAGCAGUUUGUGCAAAGCAUCUUUCUGCUUCUCAGGGAUUUUAACAGACCCGAUCUUCACAUUUUCUGUUAUUUCCAUGUGCAAGCAACUUUUAAAGUAUAUGCACGUUUAACUCUGCAUUUGUUUGUUUCCAUCCGUUUGUAACGCUGUGCAGGGAGCUGGCUGAUAAAUAAGCAGUUCUUGGGGAAAGGAGUGAAGACUACUCAUUUUCAUCUAUAUCAGUUCCAGUUCACUGCCACAAGUCCUGCUAUUGGAUUUCCUACCUUAACGAAGCUGCCCUUGGAGCACAUCUGAAAUUUAGCCAUUCUUUAUCUAUGGCAAUUAGCACAACCAUUCAGUUGGCCUGUUGGUGUAGCAGUGCUGACACAUCCCAUUUCAGCAAACUCCUUGCUCUUGCUCUGCAAUCCAGCGCAACACACACAGAAAGGAUGGGAAAAAACACACUGAUUGAUGGAUGUGAAAGGGAGAAGUUUGGUUUUUAAAUACAGUUUCACUUCAGAAUUGCCAGACUAAAAACACAACUUAUCUCACCCAACAAGUCCUUCUUUACUCGCUGUCCUGAUCAUCUGGCUCAAGACGAGGUCAUUUUGAGAACCUGCCCUUUUGAAGCAAUCCUAUUACAGUGACCAGGAAGCUGCUGUGAUUUUCUUUAACACAGAACUAACUGGACCACAAGGUUCUAUCAGUUGACUCGAAAUUGUGGAACUCACCUCUGAAGAGAGCAGGAUAACUCUGUGUAGGCCGCAAGAAGGUAACAAGAAACCAAAUUACUCAUUAGCCUGGUUCAAAUAACAUUUAAAAGCUAAAUUAUACGUGAAAGGCAGCAAUGCAAAAAGGAGAAAAAAAACCUUGCAGGCUUGCUAAAAAUUCUACAUUGCUGAAGUGCAGCACGAAUGGGAACCUGGUAUAGUUUCCAUUGAUUAGGUGUAAGCACACGAACAAAUAAACACGCAUUUGGUGCCAUGCUUUUAUUUACUUAAAUGAAAGGAAAAAACUACAACGGUACCACAUAAGUAGCAAUGACGAUAUUUUACAGCACAGCAUUUGAAAAAAUAUGGAAGCUAUGCUCCAUAGAAGUGGACAAGUAAGCACACAAUACACUGUACAUUUUUUCAACAGUGCCCAUUAAAUCAAUUAAAUAGCUGAAUUUGGCUUUAAACAGCCAAAUAAUAAAAACUAACAGUCAUACUAAAAUAAAAUAAAAAAAUCAGUAGCUGUUGUGACUGUUAGAUUAUGAAACUUUGCUCCAAAAACUAACAUGAUAGUUUGGCAAUUCAGUCAUAGCAACAACAGUAAUACCCCUGAUGAAAGCACCAGUGUGUUCUGAAAAGGUCAGUGAUAAAUACUGGCCUUCACGGAAAGCUUCCUUAUUAUUUUCAUGUUUUAUUUCAAUUUUUUAUUUAUUUUUCUUUUUUAACAUGAUCCCGACCACAGACCCACAGUAAUUAGAAAAUCUGCAGGCUUAAAAAGGAAAAGCAUCUCUAGCUUUGCUUUUCCCGUAUGAAGUAAAACUUUAUACUGCGAGCAAUGGACUUUCCAGCGGCGUUAUUCACAUUCUGCUUCUGAACAUUGCACAAAUCUUUCACCUGUUGACAAGUGUAAAUUUCAUGAAUACAUUCAGAUAUACCUACAACCCAUCAGACAGCUCCUCUGUUACGUUCUUAAGCUCACUUGGAUUAAUCGAUGUGUGUCUCUUCACGCUGUUGCAAAUUACCAGCUAAACCACAGCACACGUUAGAAAUGAAAAUCCUCCCAUUAUUAAACUUCUUGUCGAGUUCUUCCACGUGUCUAAGAGUUGCUUCCACCCUUCUGGCUUCUUCUCUUACNCAAUUUCAUACGGUUAUUCAAGAUGUUCCCACAGUGGUACCUGCAGGACCCGUCUAACAGGCAGAAUGUGCAAACCCUCUUGCCCCCAUUUAGUAUUAUUUAUAGCUAUAUACACAAUAUGUAUACACUGGAAAUAUAAGAGUUACAUAUCCUGGUGAUAUACAUGCAAACAAUAGGAAUCUGCUAACCACAAAUAAUUUUGAGCCACAAACAUAUUAAACAUAUAUUUUAAAGUGUUUUUUCUUUUUUUUUUUGUCUUUUUUUUUUACAGAUUUAACAAAUAUACAUAAAUAUAAGAACAUAAAUUACAGUAAAACUGACAGCAUUUUUGAGAAAAUAUUUGUAACCCAGAUGCAUCGAUGCCUAAGGCUUCAGAAUAAUUUAAAAAAGUACUGAGCUAAACUGUUUAAUCAUUCAGGUGCAUCUUUCUAUAAGUAAAUGAGUACAUGAUAGUAGUGAGGCAUCGUUUCUCUCAGAGCACUUCAGAGA